CGGUAGCUAGUUUAAUUCAAAAUAACUGAUUUCGACUCAAUAGACUAUGAUUUACUUCAUAGCUACCAC
rnacentral:tRNA from 1 species